UUCUUCUUCCCCCUCGCCUUGGAAAAACCAGUUUCUCUCUCUUUCAUUGUCUGUUACCAAUUUCUAUUCCAAAACUUCAAUGGAACCCCAACCAUAUUCCAAACUGUCUUUCUCCAGCUACCUUUAGCCCCCUCCACUCCAACGCACUUUCCUCUGCUCUCAUAUGCCUUCUCACUAAAGGGAGAAUGGCUUUGGGACCCACCCCUACCUUCCCUCAGGAGCCAUUUCUGUUCUGCACGGGCCUGCAGCACUGGACACUUUAUACAACACGGGGCCUCCGGAGCACCCACCCCGCAGGCCGAGGACCCCACGUGAAGGCGAGGCGCUCCGCACACUCCCGCAGAGGACCUGAAGAAUCUGGUGGGCCAUCCACUGGGGAGGAUGAGAGUGGGAUUUCAGUGGAGUGAAGUUCAGGAGGCAUGGAGCUGACGCCACCGCCGCCGCAGCAGCCCCAACAGUGGCUGCGGGGGAGCUCUGACUUAGAAAACGGAACCCCAGGGAGAGAUGGGAUCGAGGAGGAGACCCUAGAGCAAAGUGUCUUCUGCAGAGGGGAUGGGUGUCGGCGGACUGGGAACAGCACCACAGAUAGGAACCGCCUUCUAAAUGCCUGCAACGGGAAUGCGUGUUUUCUGUAACUUACAAACAUUAAAAAGUUGUCCGUC